rnacentral:misc_RNA from 1 species
GAUGAAGAACGCAGCGAAAUGCGAUAAGUAAUGUGAAUUGCAGAAUUCCGUGAAUCAUCGAAUCUUUGAACGCACAUUGCGCCCGCUGGUAUUCCGGCGGGCAUGCCUGUUCGAGCGUCAUUUCAACCCUCAAGCCCCCGGGUUUGGUGUUGGGGAUCGGCUCUGCCCUCUGGGCGGUGCCGCCCCCGAAAUACAUUGGCGGUCUCGCUGCAGCCUCCAUUGCGUAGUAGCUAACACCUCGCAACUGGAACGCGGCGCGGCCAUGCCGUAAAACCCCAACUUCUGAAUGUUGACCUCGGAUCAGGUAGGAAUACCCGCUGAACUUAAGCAUAUCAAUAAGCGGAGGA